rnacentral:rRNA from 1 species
ACAAGCCGAAUUAAGGUGAAACCGCGAAAGGCUCAUUAAAUCAGUUAUGGUUCCUUAGAUCGUACCCACAAYYACYYGGAUAACUGUGGUAAUUCUAGAGCUAAUACAUGCAAACAGAGCUCCGACCGGAGACGGAAGGAGUGCUUUUAUUAGAUCAAAACCAAUCGGUGGCGGGUUCGCUCGUUAUCGUACAACUUGGUGACUCUGAAUAACUUUACGCUGAUCGCACGGUCAUCGCACCGGCGACGCAUCUUUCAAAUGUCUGCCUUAUCAACUGUCGAUGGUAGGUUCUGCGCCUACCAUGGUUGUAACGGGUAACGGGGAAUCAGGGUUCGAUUCCGGAGAGGGAGCCUGAGAAACGGCUACCACAUCCAAGGAAGGCAGCAGGCGCGCAAAUUACCCACUCCCGGCACGGGGAGGUAGUGACGAAAAAUAACGAUACGGGACUCAUCCGAGGCCCCGUAAUCGGAAURAGUACACU